rnacentral:lncRNA from 1 species
AAUAUAUGUUGAAACACAGAGAAGGAGGAGACUGACUUCGAGGAGAUGCACAGGAAGAUGGCCAUGUGGAGACAGAGGCAGACGUUGGAGUGAUGCUCAGAAGAAAAGGCACUCUAGGAGCCUGCAGAAGCCUCAGACAAACCAAGAGAGUGGUUUCUGUGCAGCACCAUCACCAGCACCAUCAUCACCAUCCCAGCAUCAUC